ACCGAGAUUCCCCCAGUAGCGGCGAGCGAACGGGGAGCAGCCCAGAGCCUGAAUCAGUGUGUGUGUUAGUGGAAGCGUCUGGAAAGGCGCGCGAUACAGGGUGACAGCCCCGUACACAAAAAUGCACAUGCUGUGAGCUCGAUGAGUAGGGCGGGACACGUGGUAUCCUGUCUGAAUAUGGGGGGACCAUCCUCCAAGGCUAAAUACUCCUGACUGACCGAUAGUGAACCAGUACCGUGAGGGAAAGGCGAAAAGAACCCCGGCGAGGGGAGUGAAAAAGAACCUGAAACCGUGUACGUACAAGCAGUGGGAGCACGCUUAGGCGUGUGACUGCGUACCUUUUGUAUAAUGGGUCAGCGACUUAUAUUCUGUAGCAAGGUUAACCGAAUAGGGGAGCCGAAGGGAAACCGAGUCUUAACUGGGCGUUAAGUUGCAGGGUAUAGACCCGAAACCCGGUGAUCUAGCCAUGGGCAGGUUGAAGGUUGGGUAACACUAACUGGAGGACCGAACCGACUAAUGUUGAAAAAUUAGCGGAUGACUUGUGGCUGGGGGUGAAAGGCCAAUCAAACCGGGAGAUAGCUGGUUCUCCCCGAAAGCUAUUUAGGUAGCGCCUCGUGAAUUCAUCUCCGGGGGUAGAGCACUGUUUCGGCAAGGGGGUCAUCCCGACUUACCAACCCGAUGCAAACUGCGAAUACCGGAGAAUGUUAUCACGGGAGACACACGGCGGGUGCUAACGUCCGUCGUGAAGAGGGAAACAACCCAGACCGCCAGCUAAGGUCCCAAAGUCAUGGUUAAGUGGGAAACGAUGUGGGAAGGCCCAGACAGCCAGGAUGUUGGCUUAGAAGCAGCCAUCAUUUAAAGAAAGCGUAAUAGCUCACUGGUCGAGUCGGCCUGCGCGGAAGAUGUAACGGGGCUAAACCAUGCACCGAAGCUGCGGCAGCGACGCUUAUGCGUUGUUGGGUAGGGGAGCGUUCUGUAAGCCUGCGAAGGUGUGCUGUGAGGCAUGCUGGAGGUAUCAGAAGUGCGAAUGCUGACAUAAGUAACGAUAAAGCGGGUGAAAAGCCCGCUCGCCGGAAGACCAAGGGUUCCUGUCCAACGUUAAUCGGGGCAGGGUGAGUCGACCCCUAAGGCGAGGCCGAAAGGCGUAGUCGAUGGGAAACAGGUUAAUAUUCCUGUACUUGGUGUUACUGCGAAGGGGGGACGGAGAAGGCUAUGUUGGCCGGGCGACGGUUGUCCCGGUUUAAGCGUGUAGGCUGGUUUUCCAGGCAAAUCCGGAAAAUCAAGGCUGAGGCGUGAUGACGAGGCACUACGGUGCUGAAGCAACAAAUGCCCUGCUUCCAGGAAAAGCCUCUAAGCAUCAGGUAACAUCAAAUCGUACCCCAAACCGACACAGGUGGUCAGGUAGAGAAUACCAAGGCGCUUGAGAGAACUCGGGUGAAGGAACUAGGCAAAAUGGUGCCGUAACUUCGGGAGAAGGCACGCUGAUAUGUAGGUGAAGUCCCUCGCGGAUGGAGCUGAAAUCAGUCGAAGAUACCAGCUGGCUGCAACUGUUUAUUAAAAACACAGCACUGUGCAAACACGAAAGUGGACGUAUACGGUGUGACGCCUGCCCGGUGCCGGAAGGUUAAUUGAUGGGGUUAGCGCAAGCGAAGCUCUUGAUCGAAGCCCCGGUAAACGGCGGCCGUAACUAUAACGGUCCUAAGGUAGCGAAAUUCCUUGUCGGGUAAGUUCCGACCUGCACGAAUGGCGUAAUGAUGGCCAGGCUGUCUCCACCCGAGACUCAGUGAAAUUGAACUCGCUGUGAAGAUGCAGUGUACCCGCGGCAAGACGGAAAGACCCCGUGAACCUUUACUAUAGCUUGACACUGAACAUUGAGCCUUGAUGUGUAGGAUAGGUGGGAGGCUUUGAAGUGUGGACGCCAGUCUGCAUGGAGCCGACCUUGAAAUACCACCCUU
rnacentral:rRNA from 1 species